rnacentral:rRNA from 1 species
UUUUAAAUAGCCGCGAUUAAGUGCUAAGGUAGCAUAAUCAUUCGUCUUCUAAUUAAAGACUAGAACAAAAGAUUAAACAUUUAAAUUAUUUUAUUUAAGAUAUCAAUUAAAAUUUUCUAAAAUGUAAAAAGACAUUUAAAUUAUAGAAAGACGACAAGACCCUAUUGAACUUAACUAUAGUUAAACUGGGGCAGUUUAAUAAGUAUUAUUUUAUUAAUUAUUGAUAACCAAAUAUCUAUUAUUAUUAAUUAAAAGUUACCAUAGGGAUAACAGCAUAAUAAAUAUUUUAAGAUCUUAUAUAAAUAUAAUAUUGUGACCUCGAUGUUGAAUUAAUUACCUAUAUUAUGCAAUAAUUAUAAAAGGAAGUCUGUUCGACUUUUAAAAAAUUACGUGAUCUGAGUCA